GGGGCUAUAGCUCAGUUGGGAGAGCACCUGGUUUGCAACCAGGGGGUCGUCGGUUCGAUCCCGGCUAGCUCCA
rnacentral:tRNA from 1 species